rnacentral:rRNA from 1 species
GACGAACGCUGGCGGCGUGCCUAAUACAUGCAAGUUGAGCGCUGAAGGUUGGUACUUGUACCAACUGGAUGAGCAGCGAACGGGUGAGUAACGCGUGGGUAAUCUGCCUUUGAGCGGGGGACAACAUUUGGAAACGAAUGCUAAUACCGCAUAAAAUCUUUAAACACAAGUUUUAAGUGUGAAAGAUGCAAUUGCAUCACUCAAAGAUGAUCCCGCGUUGUAUUAGCUAGUUGGUGAGGUAAAGGCUCACCAAGGCGAUGAUACAUAGCCGACCUGAGAGGGUGAUCGGCCACAUUGGGACUGAGACACGGCCCAAACUCCUACGGGAGGCAGCAGUAGGGAAUCUUCGGCAAUGGACGAAAGUCUGACCGAGCAACGCCGCGUGAGUGAAGAAGGUUUUCGGAUCGUAAAACUCUGUUGGUAGAGAAGAACGUUGGUGAGAGUGGAAAGCUCAUCAAGUGACGGUACCUACCCAGAAAGGGACGGCUACCUACGU